ACCUGUGACCAAAUCACCCGGAAUUUAACCGAUCUCAUCAGAUCUUGGCAGCUAAGCAGGUUUGAGCUUGGAUAGAGCCUGGAUUGUUGACCACCAUGCGUAGCAGGUUGUUGUAGGCU
rnacentral:rRNA from 1 species